ACAUGAAGGGAAUAAAUCAACUGGUGGACUUAGAUUUGUUACUACUUCCUACGGAAUAGUUGGUUUCAUAAAAUUUUUGGGACCUUAUUACAUGUUGCUGAUUACAAAAAGAAGGAAAAUUGGUGCAAUUUGUGGCCAUACGAUAUAUGCCAUCACCAAGAACGAGAUGAUUCCUAUUCCAAAUUCUUCUGUGCGGUCCAAUAUGACUAAUUCUAAGAAUGAGAACAGGUCUUUUGUCCAUUCUGCAUGUGAAUGUAAUGUGUACUUGGUACUUCUAAAGAGGCCUAUGAGAUUGGUUAUCAAAAUUGUGCACUGUUCAUUUGUAAUUAGAUGAGGAUAUUGUCAUGGUGGUUUUAUUUUUUUGUUUCAUUAAUUUUUGAGACAAAUAUUCUGCGUUGGGCAUCGUCUAUUAGAAGUAGACAAGUUCAACACUGUGGAGGUAAUCUCUGUACUUUUUUUGUCAAUACACCCUUCAGUGUAAAGUAAUGAUGUGAACUUCUCUUGUUCAAACUUAUUUGAGUUAUUCUGGUGGUAUAGCUUUAUUCUUUUUUUUAUUUUUUCCCUCCCUUUCUUUAGAUGAAACUAGUAAAGGAUCUAAUUUCAGGUUAUGCAAUGCUAAAUGCUACUGUUGCAUCCUUCUUAGUUGAUAAUGUUGAGUAGUGGCUAUUGCCAGUUGGUUUCUUGCAUAUGUACAGGGGCAAUCUUCAUUGCUGUUGUGAUGAUGUUAAUAUAACAUGUUGAAUGAGACAAGGUAUCAUCGGGUUUCAGGGGGAGAAAUCACUUCCUUUCCUUUUUUUUUCUCCAUUUUUCUUUCCUUUCUUUUUCCCUCUUUUAGCUUCUUAGUUUAAUUUUAUUUGCCAGUACUUCAAUAAUAUUCCUUCUCCCUUGAUAAUAUCCUUCAACAUGCACUAACUUCUCUUGCCAUUUUUUUUUUCUUAAUGAUGAUGUAGAUACAAGAAGCUCCUAUGCACAGUGGAUCUUACAAGGGACUUCUUUUUCAGCUACUCAUAUCAUGUCAUGCAUUGUCUUCAAAAGAAUUUAUGUAACGAGGCAGGGCAAGCUCACCAUGAAACAAUGUUUGUUUGGAAUGAAUUCUUAACUCGAGGAAUCCGGAAUAACCUCAAGAAUACUCUAUGGACAGUGGCAUUAGUAUAUGGCUUCUUUAAACAGGUGCAUUUUAUUUUUUGACACUGCCUGUAUCUAAAUGCUCAUAAAUAUUACAUGCAUAAAAAAAAGCAGUGCCUUUGUAUCUUUUUCCAUUUUAGUGGGAAUUGAAAAGUGUACUUACGUUCAAUAUCUGUAACAUAUGGUGGCAAUAUGAUAUUUUUCAAUUUGCAUCUUCUAUGUUCCAUCUUUUCACUACCUAUGUCAUUCGCCUCUAUUUGAAGCUAUCAAGGUUGCAAUUUACAUCCCAGUUUGAGUUGGGAGCCAAAGAAGUUACUUUAGCGAGAUUAACUAAAUUAAGUACAUGGUCCUUUUGUAAGCCAAGCCAGUAAGGAAGUUAACUCCAACUUCACAAUAAUUUAUCUGGCCUUGUGCUUAUUCCUCUUUUGUGGUAAAUUCUAAGCACAUUUUGUGCAAGCUUUAAAUAUGUUCUCUGUGGUUUCCUGAUUCGUUAUCCAGGUCAAACUCUCAGCAUCUGGUAGGGACUUUAAGUUGGCUCUAAUUGCCAGACGAUCAAGGCAUUAUGCUGGCACAAGAUAUUUAAAACGUGGUGUGAAUGAUAAGGGUAGAGUGGCCAAUGAUGUUGAGACAGAACAAAUUGUGUUUGAAGAUGUUCCUGAGGGAUAUCCGGUGCAAAUAAGUUCUGUUGUGCAGCAUCGGGGUUCAAUCCCACUUUUCUGGUCCCAGGAAACUUCACGAUUGAAUAUUAAACCUGACAUUAGAUUAUUGAAGAAGGACCAAAACUAUGAGGCAACAAAGCUUCAUUUUGAAAAUCUUGCAAAGAGAUAUGGGAACCCGAUAAUUAUUUUGAAUUUAAUAAAGACACAUGAAAAGAAGCCUCGAGAAAGUAUACUCCGUGCAGAGUUUUCCAAUGCCAUCAGAUAUUUAAAUAAAGGCCUAUCUGAGGAUAAGCGCCUAAGGUUCCUCCACUGGGAUUUGCAUAGACAUUCCGGAAAGUACUAAGCUUGCGUUAAUCCCUCCUUUUUUUUCCCUUCUCCAAUCACUUUUAGUGUUAUUAAUGUGAAUAUUAUUUGGUUGUUUUUGAACAGAGCUACCAAUGUAUUGUCACUUCUAGGGAAAGUGGCAGCAUAUGCAUUGAACUUGACUGGCUUCUUUUAUUGUCAAGUUACACCAAGUUUAAGACCCGUGGGGUUUUUGUAUUUGUCUCAGUAAGUUAACACUUUGGCUGCUAACUGCUCUACAUCAUUUUUUUAUUUACUUUCAUGACAAGGAUUUCUCUGAGCAUCCUUUGUCUUUUUAAACAAUCGUUUGGCAUUGCUUUUGAGCCUACUUAUAAUUAAGGUUGUUUGAUUUAUGCUUUGUUGACUUCUAAUGGCAAGGAUUCUUAGAUAUCAUUUAUUAUUCAAGGUUGGUGCUUCUGCAGCUUGUGGAAUGCUCUUAGAUGUUAAUAUUUGCAAAGGAGGGAAAAAAAACUAAGAAAAUAUAAUCCUAUUGAGAAGUGGCUUAGGGAGAAUACUCCAUUAGCAACUUCUUAUGUUUACAAAAUUGCUAUGAUCUCACUAUCAUUUCUGCUUAAUUCUUGCUAGCUACUUAUGUUGUUAGCAAUGCAAAUAUUGUCCAGGAAAAAUGAUGAUGAGUGCUUUCUCAAAAAUCCUUCCAAUGAAAAUGACUUGGGAAGGAAUUCGGACUCAGGAAUUGGCAAUGUUGAUUCUGAAGCAAAUGAAAAUCAGAGUGUCAAGGCCCCCAUGUUUCAAAAUGGGGUGCUAAGGACUAAUUGCAUAGACUGUUUAGAUCGCACAAAUGUUGCCCAAUAUGCCUAUGGUCUGGUGGCUCUUGGUCAUCAACUGCAUGCUCUUGGAUUUAUAGAAUCACCAAUUAUUGAUUCAGAUAAUCCAUUGGUGGAGGAUUUAAUGGGGAUUUAUGAGACAAUGGGUGACACA
rnacentral:misc_RNA from 1 species